rnacentral:tRNA from 1 species
GGAGUUGUGGCUCAGUGGUAGAGUGCUUGCCUAGCAUGCAUGAGGCACUGGGUUCGAUCCUCAGCGCCA